GAUGAACGCUGACAGAAUGCUUAACACAUGCAAGUCGACUGUGGCGGACGGGUGAGUAACGCGUAAAGAACUUGCCUCACGGAUAGGGACAACAUUUGGAAACGAAUGCUAAUACCUGAUACUGUGAGAGAGCUUUGCGUCCCAUUAGCUAGUUGGAGAGGUAACGGCUCACGAAGGCGCUGAUGGGUAGCCGGCCUGCGAGGGUGAUCGGCCACAAGGGGACUGAGACACGGCCCUUACUCCUUCGGGAGGCAGCAGUGGGGAAUAGUUGACAAUGUACCAAAGUCUGAUCCAGCAAUUCUGUGUGCACGAUGAAGUUUUCGGAAUGUAAAGUGCUUUCAGUUGGGAAGCGGUACCAACAGAAGAAGUGACGGCUAAAUACGUGCCAGCAGCCGCGGUAAUUC
rnacentral:rRNA from 1 species